rnacentral:ncRNA from 1 species
AAAAGACUUAGUCCCAACCUUACUGUUAAUUCUUGCCAAACACAUACAUGCAAGCAUCCACGCCCCAGUGUAAAUGCCCCUCUACCCCUUACCUCGGACGGAGGGAGCAGGCAUCAGGCACACCCGCCCUCGUAGCCCAAGACGCCUUGCACUAGCCACACCCCCACGGGUACACAGCAGUAGUUAACAUUAAGCAAUAAGCGUAAGCUUGACUUAGUUACGGCAAUCCCCUCCCCAGGGUCGGUAAAUCUUGUGCCAGCCACCGCGGUCACACAAGAGACCCAAAUUAACCGUACACGGCGUAAAGCGUGGGACCAAAAUAUCCCCUAAACUAGGAUUGAAAUGCAACUAAGCCGUCAAAAGCUAAGGAUGUACUAAAAACCACCCUUAAAACGAUCCUAGCCCCGCCAGGACAGACUACCCCCCACGAAAGCCAGGACUCAAACUGGGAUUAGAUACCCCACUAUGCCCGGCCCUAAAUCCAGAUGCCCACAGUCACUAAAGCAUCCGCCAGGGUACUACGAGCACAAACGCUUAAAACCCUAAGGACUUGGCGGUGCCCCAAACCCACCUAGAGGAGCCUGUCCUAUAAUCGAUAACCCACGUUACACCCUACCACUCCUUGCCAGGCAGCCUACAUACCGCCGUCGCCAGCCCACCUCUUGAGAGUACAACAGUGGGCACAAUAGCCUAAACCCGCUAAAAAGACAGGUCAAGGUAUAGCCCAUGAAGUGGCAGAGAUGGGCUACAUUCUCUACAACAGAGCAACCCACGGAAGAAGGUGUGAAAGACCCUCACCCUCGGAAGGCGGAUUUAGCAGUAAAGACGGAGCCAUAACAUCCUCUUUAAGGCGGCCAUGGGGCACGUACACACCGCCCGUCACCCUCCUCACAAGCCACAACCUACAUAUAACAUCAUACCACCACCUUAGGCCAAAGAUGAGGUAAGUCGUAACAAGGUAAGUGUACCGGAAGGUGCACUUAGCAUACC